rnacentral:lncRNA from 1 species
CAGUAUAGCUAGGGAAUGACCCAUAGGUCGUCUCCCAAGGACCAAUUAAGCGGUUCAAGAAUCAAGUCUAACACGAAAAGGGGGGGGUUGAAAGUGUUUGAGAAUGCAAUGACGAAAUUAAAAAUAAAUGAAAAUCAAUUAAACAUGUAAAAUAUUCUACCAUUUCAUGUGACCAAGUGCUUUUACCAAAAGGGAAUUAAAUUUGCAAAGUUCCUACAAAUUAACCUUGACCGUGACCUCCCA